ACAUCCAGCGAACUUGGCAGAGAUGCCUUGGUGCCUUCGGGAACGCUGAGACAGGUGCUGCAUGGCUGUCGUCAGCUCGUGUUGUGAAAUGUUGGGUUAAGUCCCCGNAACGAGCGCAACCCUUAUCCUUUGUUGCCAGCGAUUCGGUCGGGAAACUCAAAGGAGACUGCCGGUGAUAAACCGGAGGAAGGUGGGGAUGACGUCAAGUCAUCAUGGCCCUUACGAGUAGGGCUACACACGUGCUACAAUGGCGCAUACAAAGAGAAGCGACCUCGCGAGAGCAAGCGGACCUCAUAAAGUGCGUCGUAGUCCGGAUCGGAGUCUGCAACUCGACUCCGUGAAGUCGGAAUCGCUAGUAAUCGUGGAUCAGAAUGCCACGGUGAAUACGUUCCCGGGCCUUGUACACACCGCCCGUCACACCAUGGGAGUGGGUUGCAAAAGAAGUAGGUAGCUUAACCUUCGGGAGGGCGCUUACCACUUUGUGAUUCAUGACUGGGGUGAAGUCGUAACAAGGUAAGCGUAGCGAG
rnacentral:rRNA from 1 species